ACUUAGUCAUCCAUCUGCUCUAUUUCUAAAGCAACAGAGCUACAUAAGGGUGCCGUUGACUCGUCAGAAGAACUACUAUCGCUGCUUCUUUGCAUGGAUAUGGGUGAAUCCGGAGGGUAAAACGACGGUUUAGGAGGCAACCUUAGGCCACUAGCAUCACCUUCAAGCAUUUCUAAGACUUUUCUCAUUGAAGGACGAUUCUCAGGUGUCAUCUGUAUGCACCACAAUGCAAUCAAAAUCAAUUUUCUUGUAAUUGUCUUUUCUUCUUCAGGUGUCAUCUGAUCGAAUUUGUCAUAUAUCCAUGAAGGGAGGUAUAUUUGACUUGAAUGCUCAGCAUGGUCAUCCACAUUUCUCCUCUUUCUCGCCAUCUCCAUUAGUAACAUUCCAUAGCUGUAAACGUUUGUCUUGUUUGAGACUCUUCCAAUCUUUUGUAGAAGAGUUCCGGGGCCAUGUAACCUAAUGUUCCUCUCACGGCAGUAAGAGUUGCAAUACUCUUUUGCAUCGGGUAAAGUUUUGCAAGUCCGAAGUCUGAAACUUUUGGAACAAAGUUCUUAUCGAGUAAGAUGUUAUGUGGUUUAAUAUCAAAAUGCAGAAUUUGCAUAUCACACCCCUGCAUGCAAGUAUUCAAUGCCACGAGCAACCCUCUUUGCAAUCUCACAAACUUGUUUCCAACUCAAUGGAGAACCAUUCUGACAAUUUGAAAAAAUUAACUUGUCCAGAGAGCCAUUUGGCAUGUAAUCAUACACAAGAGCAUGUUUUGAGGCAGUAACACAAUAUCCCACUAAUCGAACAACAUUAACAUGGUGUAUCCUUCCAAUAGUUGCAACUUCAUUGAUGAACUCUUGUCCAUUAGCUUUUGAUUUGUUCAGUGUCUUGACAGCAACUGCACUUCCAUUGCACAAUUUGCCUUUGUAAACCAAACCAUAGACUCCUUCACCUAGUUUCUCCUCAAAAUUUUUUGUCAUUGUCUUAAUUUCUUUGCAUGAGUACCUAAUGGGCAUGAGGCUGUUGUUUGCUUGUAGGAAAUCUUCUAUUGUAUCAUACCUCGAUAAAUGCCUCCGACGACGCCAAUAAAAGAGGAAAGCAAACAAGAGGAUAAUGCCAAUGACAUGUUUUGCUGCAAUAAGCACAACUGAAAUAGAAGAAGAGAAAAACAAUGAUCGACUGACUUCUAGUAUGUUCCAAUAGACAGAGUUUUCAACUCUAAAUCAGAUGCCUUACCCGAAACUAUGUUAGGAAAAAUGCAAAGAAUUGGCAAAUAUUGUGACAAGAAUUGGCUUCAAAUCGUGAUAUAUAUAUCACUUUCCUUUAGACUUUAUUUGUCCGAUAUAAAGUGCAAUAAUCUUGGACAAAUAUCCUUUAGGAUAAGAUGAAGUUUGUUUGGCUAAAACUCUUGCACAAAAUAAGACAAACCCUUUGUGAACUAAGGAGUGCUUUGAGAGAGUACACAGUAGUAGGAAAGUGAUUUUCUGCAGCAAACCACUCUCUACUUGGCCUCUUUAUAUAGGAAGACUGUUUGGGAAAGAAAAGAACUCAUUAAACACUUGUAUGAAUAGGUUUAAAGUAUUGUGUAUGAAUAGAUUCAAAGUAUUGUGUACAAAUUCAUGCACUUUAAUUCAUGCAUCUCAUGAUCAUUAGAUCAAAACAUGAAUCUAUCCUUUCAUUCAAGAAUUCUCAUAUACAUGAAUACGUUCAUAAAUGAAUGUACAUUUUAGAAACAUUCACAAUACUAUACAUGUACCAAAAAUUAAUGAAUAUACAUUAAUUACAUGUAUGUACACCACACAAAUUUUGAAAAGUUUCCAACAAUCCCUCGCCAUUUUCAAAAUUUAAAAAAUGGAUUUCUAAAAGGCCACCAAGUAAUCUGACACUCAUAUGCAUAAAUAAUUGUGUCUUUCGAUUGAACCACUAUCUUAGUGAAGGUUCUUUGAAAUCAAUCCUUCAAGAUGGUAGACAAGCUUUGAACCACUUGGACAUUGGACCAACCUCAUAAACACAUCACACACUGAGCAACGCACAACCAUAAGUUCUUCAACGAUACAUUUUACAGCCAUGUAUCACUAUCCUUUCAUGAAUGUUUACAAAGUAAAGUCCUUAACUUUGUGGUUUGCCGAAAACCAACAUUCAUAUAGGCGACAUCUUAGUACCCCCGCCAUAGAUAGCACUUUUAAAAUUCGUUAAGAGUCCAAUGACUCAUCCUUACAUUUGCACUGGCGAGAACAACAUGCACUAUUCAACAUUGGGAUGCCUAAACUUCACAUAGUGCACCAACCACUAGAAUGGUGUACUUUCACUCAUUGAAUUCAAGACUAGACAUUGUAUCUAGCGUUGAAUUGAGGUUCCACCAUUAGUGAUCAAGGAUUUUGGACUUUAAACCCAUCCCCCUUGAUGUCUUUGACACCAAAUUUCUUGAUAAUCGUUUGGUCAAAAGAUCACUCAAAUUUUCAUUUGAUCUCACAAAGUCAAAUUGAUAUGACUCCAUUUGUGAUCAAAUUUUUGACAUAACUAUGUCUUAAACCGAUAUGUCUUGAUUUACCAUUAUACACUUGACUAUAUGUUUUAGCAAGUGUAGCUGCACUAUCACAAUGGAUUAAGAUAAGCGACAAAGGUGUUGGCCACAAUGGUAUAUCACAAAGUAAAUUAUGUAGUCAUUCAACCUCUUUACAGGCCGAAGCAAGUGCUACAAAUUCUACUGCCAUUGUUGAAUCGGUGAUACAAGUCUAUUUCUUAUAACCCCAAAAAUUGCACCUCCACCAAGCAUAAAUAUCCAACCACUUGUCGACGAAUGAUCAUUUUUAUUGGUGAUCCAACUAGCAUCUAAAAAUCCUUCUAAAACUGAAGGAUAGCCGGUAUAAUAUAUACCAUAGUCCUUAGUGGCCUUUAAAUAUUUUAAAAUUCUGGUUACACCUUGCCAAUGUAACCUACUAGGGUUGCUUGUAUAUCUGCUCAAUAUACCAACUCCAUAUGCAAUAUCAGGUCUAGUACAAGUCAUUGCAUGCAUUAAGCACCCUAUAACCUUGGCAUAUUUCAUUUGAGAUUUUGGAUCCCCCUCAUUUUUUACAAAAUUUAUUUUAGGAUCCAAUGGUGUUGAGGCUGGAAUACAAUCACUUUGAUUGAAUUUGUUAAGAAUUUUUUCAAUAUAAUGUGAUUGAGACAACAUUAUAUUGUUAUCAUGUUUGAAGAUUCUUAUACCAAGAAUAACAUCUGCCUCACCCAUGUCUUUCAUGUCAAAUUUGCUUGAAAGCAAAGUUUUUGUGACUUCAAUUUGUUCCAAGUCAGUCCCAAAAAUUAACAUGUCAUCAACAUAUAAACAAAUUAUGACACCUUUGCCAUCACUAAACUUGUUAUAAAUGCAUUUAUCAGAUUCAUUUAUUUUGAAUCCACUAGCAAGAAUGACUUGGUCAAAUUUCUGAUGCCAUUGCUUCGGUGCUUGUUUUAGUCCAUAUAAAGAUUUUACAAGUUUACACACCUUAUGCUCUUGACCAGGUAUCACAAACCCUUCGGGUUGCUCCAUAUAUAUUUCUUCAUCCAAAUCACCAUUCAAGAAUGCUGUUUUAACAUCCAUUUGGUGAAUGACUAGAUUUUGGAUAGAAGCUAGAGCAAGUGGCACUCUAAUUGUAGCAAUUCUAGCUACUGGUGAAUAUGUGUCAAAAUAGUCCAAACCAUACUUUUGUGUGAACCCUUUGGCAACCAACCUGGCCUUGAACUUAUCAAUAGUUCCGUCGAUCUUCAUUUUCUUCUUGAAGAUCCACUUACAACCAAUUGGUUUUGAACCCGGUGGUAAGUCUACUAAUUUUCAGAUUUUAUUACCCAUGAUUGAGUCAUCUCAUCAUUAAUAGCUUCCUUCCAAAAGGGAGCAUCUUGUGAGUUUAUUGCUUCUUCAUAGGUCUUUGGAUCAGCCUCAGUAUUGAAGCAAUAUGAAAUUUGGUUGCUCACUGUAUCUCUAGUUCCUUCAACUAGAUACAUAUAAAAGUCCGAACCAAAGUCCUUUGACUUUCUAGCUCUUUUGCUCAUUUUCAAUUCAAUGGUUUCAUUUUCACCAUCUUUUGUCAAUUCACUUGAUUUUGGAAUAACAUCUUUUAUAGAGGUGAAUCUAUUCUCUUUAAAAAUAGCAUCUCUAGAUUCAAUUAUGGUAUUAACCGAAAUUAAAUCAUUAGGUUCAAUUACCAUGAACCUAUAUGCUUUGCUAUUUUGUGCAUAUCCUAAGAAUAUGCACUCCACACCUCUUUCUCCCAAUUUCCUUGUUUUAGGUUGUGGGAGUUUUACAACAGUUCUACAACCCCAAACUUUCAAAUAGUUUAGAUUGGGUUUUCUUUUAUUCCAAAAUUCAUAAGGGGUUAUAGAACUCCUUUUAUUAGGAACUCUAUUUAGGAUAUGACAAGCCGUUAACAAAGCUUCACCCCAAAAUCUUUGACUUAGUCCAGAUUUUGACAAAAGUGCAUUAACCAUUUCUGUCAAUACACGAUUUUUCCUUUUCAGCUACACCAUUUUGUUGUGGUAUGUAAGAAGCAGUCACCUCAUAUUUUAUUCCAACACACUCAAAAUAGGUAAUAUCAUAAUAUUCUCCACCUCUAUCUGUCCUUAGCCAUUUGAUAAAGGAUUCACAAUGAAAUUCAACUUCUGAUUUGUAUGUCUUAAAUUUUUGCAAAGCUUCACCUUUUGAGUGUAACAAGAAAACAUGACAGUAUCUACUAUAAUCAUCAAUAAAAGUCACAAAGUACUUUUUACCACCCAAAGUAGGAGUACCAUGCAAAUCACAUACAUCACUAUGAAUAAGAUCCAAGAUUUUAGAUGAUCUUUCAACUUUAGGAAACGAAUUUCUUGUGAUUUUCAUUAGCAUGCAUGUUUUGCAUUUUCCUUCAACCUUAUCACAAUAUGGCAGCAAAUCAAGUUUCAUCAUUUCAUGCAUUCUUUUGUAAUUAACAUGACCAAUCCUAUUAUGCCACAAUUCAAAAGAAGACUCAACCAAAUAUGCAGAAAUAAUAUCACUCUUAUUAUUUCUAAUAGCAAGUACAUUCAGUUUAAACAUCCUAUUGUAAAGAUAACCCUUACCUACAAACAUACCACCUUUAGACAAAAUAAAUUUGUCAGACUCAAACACAAGUCUAAAACCAAAUUUAUUUAACAAACCAGCCGACAUCAAGUUCUUCCUACUUUCGGUACAUAAAACACAUUUGUCAAGGUUACAACAUUGGCGGAAAUAAAUUUUAAUUCUACUUCUCCAAUGCCUUGAACCGGAAUUGUAGCAGAAUUACCCAUGUAAACAAUGAUACUUUCAUCCACCGGUUUCAUGGACUUGAAGAACGUUCUAUUGUUGCACACGUGUUGCGUAGCUCCAGAAUCAACCCACCAAGCAAAAUCAUCUUCAAUCAUAUUGAUUUCAGAUAGCAUUGCCACAAGAUUUUUACUUGUGUUUUGGGAAGACUCUUGUUUCUUUUUCUUGUUUUGAAGAAUCUUGCACUCGAAAUUGUAAUGUCCCUCUUUCUUGCAAUAGAAACAUUGUCCCUUCUUUCUUUUCUUGGAUUGAUUCUUGGGUUGUUGGCCCUUCUUGCAGCCUUGAGACUUUUCAGUUUGUCUCUCUUCAAUCACAUGCACUUUUGAAGUAGAAUCUUUGCUCUCUUCAAGGAUUUGAGUAUCAUUCUUUUCUUGCAUGCGAAUUUCCUCUUCUACGUGAAGAGAUUUAGCAAGAAUUUCAAGAGAGAUAUCCUCUUUCUUAUGUUUGAGGUCUCUUUUGAAAUCUUUCCAAGAAGGUGGUAACUUAUCUAUUAAACAGCAAACAAUAAUGGCUUCAUCCAUAUGUAGAUUGUGUUGUGUGAAGUGAUUAAGAAGCCUUUCAAUCUCACUAAAUUGCUCCAUAACAGACUUACUAUCUACCAUUUUAUAAUUAUUAAAAGUUGAGACAAGAAACUUCUUACUUGUAGCAUUUUCUUGCAUGUAUUUGGACUCCAAACGAUUCCAAAGUUCCUUAGCAGUAGUAAUUGAAUGGUAGAUAUCAAACAGGCUGUCACUCAUGGUAUUGAGGAUGUGACCACAGCAUAUUUCAUUGUCGUUCUCCCAUUUCUGACGUUUUCGGAUGUCUUCAAGAGUUUCUUCAUCGGAAUUGAUCAAUGAUUUUGGUGUGGUCAAAACAUAAACCACUUUGAGUGCAGUGAGAAGGAAACGAACACGUUUUUGCCAACGAAUGAAAUUUCCUCCAUCAAACCUCUCGAGCUUGACAAUGUUGGAUGCCAAAUCUUUCAGGGUACCAGCCAUUGUAGAGUAUCAAAUAAAGCCUAAAGAUUGUUGGGAAAAUUGCAAAGAAUUGGCAAAUAUAUGUGACAAGAAUUGGUUUCAAAUCGUGAUAGAUAUUACUUUCCUUUAGGCUUUUUUUGUCCGAUAUAAAGUGCAAUAAUCUUAGACAAAUAUCCUUUAGGAUAAGAUGAAAUUUGUUUGUCUUAAACUCUUGCACAAAGUAAGACAAACCCUUUGUGAACUAAGGAGUGCUUUGAGAGAGUACACAGUAGUAGGAAAGUGAUUUUCUGCAGCAAACCACUCUCUAGUUGACCUCUUUAUAUAGGAAGACUGUUUGGAAAACAAAAGAACUCAUUAAACACUUGUAUGAAUAGGUUCAAAGUAUUGUGUAUGAAUUGAUUCAAAGUAUUGUGUACAAAUUCAUACACUUUAAUUCAUGCAUCUCAUGAUCAUUAGAUCAAAACAUGAAUCUAUCCUUUCAUUCAAGAAUUCCCAUAUACAUGAAUACAUUCAUAAAUGAAUGUACAUUUUAGAAACAUCCACAAUACUAUACUCGUACCAAAAAUUAAUGAAUAUACAUUAAUUACAUGUAUGUACAUCACACAAAUUUUGAAAAGUUUCCAACAAACUAUGCCACCAAUAUCAAAGUAAUCUGCUUAUAAAAGAAAAGUUAAAGGAUUGUAAUGGAAAUAUUGAAAUAGAAAGAAUCUGAUUGAUUAAAGAAUGGUUUUUCUGUAAAUCAAAGAUAUCAGAUUACUCACAUUCAUUUCCAUAUGGAUAGGGGCCGAAGACAUGUCGGUAGACGAAUAUGUAGGUUUCUACCGAGCUGAGAGCUACAUAGCCUAAGUACAAAAGUCAACGUUAAUGUCCAAUUGGAUGCUAAAAAAUCAACUUUUAUUAAUUGCAGCUAUUUCACACUCAUGUGCAUACAAGUUUCAAAUUACCAUGACAAUUAAAAAAAAUAGUUUCAAAUUACUACGACAAUAAAUUCAAAGUAUGUUUGUUUGGCAAGGUUCAAAGUGAAAAUUCAAUAAUUCAUAUGUUUGUUGGGAUCAUAACACAAAUGUGCUUUUUAAAAAGCCAACCCACCCUCCUGUCUAAAAUCUAACUAUUCUAAUUUGACUAUGUUCCUAUAUAUUUUUUUUGGCUAAAAAAGAUUUGCAGCAAUAAAUAAAGAUAAAAUAGAAGUUUCUGGUAUUCUGAUUCCCCAAAAUAGAAAAAGUCACAUCAUCAAUUUCUGAAUUAAACAGAUGAUCUACAGGGAAUUGAGGUAGAUGCGGUUGUGUACUAUUAUUGUAUUUCUUGCAUAUUAUGCUGUAUAGGGAAUACUGUAUUUUAUUAGUUGCUAUUGACUGGGACAUCAAAUGUUGUAAGAAGUAUAACAGUUUGUGCAUACUAAUUACUAUGAGAAAGCAUUCAAAAAAGAACUAAAACAUGAUGUUUAUAAAGGAAAAAUAGCAAUAUAAUAAAAAGUGAGACAAAGAGUGGCACGAGAUGUGGGACAGAAGAUCCGUUGCGUAUAAUAACUGGACAUACUCAUACCAAACAAAAAACAUGCCUGCCCCACGUUCGACUUCACAAGAAAAUAAGAUCUUAAUAAAAGUGCCUUAAUUCUUUUCAGUUAAUGCCAUAUGUAAAGAAAUCAAGGAUAAGCAUUUAUUAUAUAACAAGGAGCAAAUUAUCCGGUUGACCACUAAACUUUUGCAAUCGUCAAGUUUUGAUUACUCAACUAUUAAAAAUCUGGUUUUGGCCACUAAAGUGCAUAAAAGCGAGACGCGAAACCAUUCUAUUAGAUUUAGCCGUUAACUUCAUCGAUGUGUCUGUUCACGCGACUUCCCAUACAAAAGGCGGGGACAAUUUAGGACCCGAAUGCUACUCUCCUCACUACCCCAGCUAGUCCGCUCCCACUACCACUACUCCUCUUCUUCCUCCACCCUCUCUUCCUACAUAGAGUGGAGAUCCGCCAGAGCCACCUACUACGCCGUCGCGGAACCGGGAGACCUAGUUGGUGGGGCUUGUGGUUAUGGGGACCUGGAGAAAAUGGGAUAUGGGAAAGCCAUAGCUGCACUCAAGCUGCACUCAGUACAGUCUUGUUUGAAAAGGGUCAGAUCUGUGGAGCUUGCUUUCAAUUUAGGUGUGUUGAGGACCUGAGAAGGUGUAUUCCUGGGACUUCCAUUAUUGUUACUGCGACUAACUUUUGUGCUCCGAAUUAUGGGUUUGAAGCUAAUGGUGGAGGACAUUGUGAUUUCCCUAAUGCACAUUUUGUACUACCCAUUAAAGCUAUUGAGAAAAUUGCCAUUUGGAAAGCUUCCAAUAUGCCCGUUCAGUAUCGCAGGUAUUGAGUUUGUGUGCUUAUUCUUUAGCUGAAUUCUCCUUUUCUUUCCUACUGUUUUUUUUUCUCUAAGCUAGAGUUAAUCGUGUAAUGGUAUAUUUGUAGCUGCAUCUAUUUUUUCAGGCCUAUUCUGUAAAUAAAUUUUUUUAUUUUAUAAAUAGUUGGUAAAGUAAUCUUUAUUAGCUUUAUACAACAAGAAGAAGAAGGUCUAUUUUCAACUUCCUAAAUUAACCAUGCUUUUUGCAUUGAAAAUUGUGCAAACGGACACAUCGAUAAAGUUAACUGCUAAAUCUAACAGAAUGGUCUUGACAGGUUGUCAGCCUGUGCAAUAAUAAAAACCUGCUCAACUAAAGUUAAUUUUUGCAAAUAGUGGUAAGUAGGGUCGAAUUCACAGGGAUUGAGUGUAACUGUUUCUUUUCAAAUUCACAGUAACAAAGGGGGUGUUUUUGUGCAGAAGGUGACAAUCAAAUAAAUUCAAAUAGAAUCUAAGAAACUACUAAAAAAUUAAAUAACAAAUUACUAAAAUCAAAUGGGUGAUAAUUAAGAAUCUAGCCAAGAAAUAACUUCAGCAAUAGUUCACUUAAUUGAUCAUUGAAACAAAGGCAAUUCUAAUUAUUUACUAAUAAAUAGGUUAUAACUGCCAAACAAGCGAUGACAGUCAACCCCUCCUUACUGUGUCGGUGAUUAAGGUACGCCCGUUAAUCACUACUCUAAUUGAGAAAUAAUCUUAGGUAUGCUCAUAAAAUUUAAUUCCACAUGUUAUUCUUGGUUUUGAUGAUCACAAAAGUUCUUUGAAAUGUUUAUACAGGCCAAGAAAGUGAACACUUUGAUCAGGCCUGAUGGAACAAAGAAAGCAUAUGUUCACUACGAUACUUUGGAAGUGGUAAACAAGAUUGGAAUAAUAUAAACGAAUCUAGUCAUUGUUUUGUUCCGAUCAAAGAUACUAUCUUUUAAAGUGUGACAAUGUUGUUGAUGAUCACAAAGUUCUUUGAAAUGUUUAUCUAACCUUCUUCAAAUAUAAGUAUCUUUGCCUACCAAAGAAUCAGGUACGCAUAUGUCAUGAGAUGCAAAUCAACCAAAAGAAAAAGCAAAAACAGGACACUCAUGUCGGACGUCCGGAAGGAAUCUAUCGGACGUCCGAAAGGAUAAAGAGCAUCAAGAAGGAAGCUCUGUCGGACGCUCGUAAGGAAGCAUCGGACGUCCAGAAGGAUCGGACGCUUGCCAUCGGACGCUCAUCAACCGCAUCGGACGUCCGAAAAAUUCCAAGAUGACUUGCCAACUCUCUGCCAACGAUCGGACGCUGUGCUGUCGGACGAAACAAACGCAUCGGACGUCCGAACUUCAACUUGGCUGUUCUCGGACGAUUGGUUCGGACGAUGAUUUGAUCGUCGGACGUCCGACAGGUCCAACGGCUAGUUGACUCUUCAGCUGCCUUCUAUCCGUUGGAAGCAUUGAUGAAACCCAUUUCUGGUUCCCUUUAAAAUAAAACUGGUCUGAACCAAGCAGGGACUUUUGCACACUUUAUUUACAAGAUCUCAAGAGAUAUUUUAGCUAGAAAAUAGUCUCCAAAGUAAGAUUUGUUCUCUAAGUGGUGUGAAUUUCUUGUGAGCUUUUCUCUUGUGGUUGAAAGUCUCAUUAGUGUAGCUUUGUUGAGGGUUAUCUGAGUGAUUGUAAAACUUCUUAGCUUGACUAAGUGAGGCUUAGGGCAAGGAGGAAGUGCUCCCUCCAUUGUACAUCUAGUUGAUCAUCUUUCAUCAAAGAGAAGUUGCUCAACCUUGUGUUUGGUCUUCAAGUUUGAGGAAAGCUUGGUAGACAAUCGGUUUGAUAUUUUAUUUUACUUUUUGUUUAAUAAAAUUCUCAUUACUUAUUUAUUCUUGUUUUUCUGAUCAAUAUUGCUCUUGUCUUCUAAUCUACUUGGUUGAUCAUUACUAGAAAAGAAGGUAAAUUUUUAUUAAAGAAAAAGUGCAUAAAUUCGAUUAAGAUUUUAAUCAACCUAAUUCACCCCCCUCUUAUGUUGUUUUUGGGCCUUACAAUUGGUAUCAGAGCUUGGUCUCCUUGAGAUUAAGCUCUAACGGCUAGGAGUAAAGAUGACAACCAGUCAUGCUAUGUUUGUUGAGGGACAAUCUGUUACUAGGCCUCCCAUGUUCAGUGGCUCCAACUAUGUUAGCUGGAAAGAAAGGAUGAUUAUCUUUUUGCAAUCUAUUGAUAUUGAGCUAUGGUUUAUUGUGAGUGAAGGACCGCAUGAAGCUAACUUUCUUGAUGCAGAAACAGGUUUACUUCGACCAAAAACGAGAGCUGAAAUGAAUGCUCAAGAUAAGACUAACCUCACAUUGAAUGCCAAGGCCAUGAAUGUUCUUUAUAGUGCCUUAGAUUCAAAUGAAUCAAUUAGAGUAAAAUGCUGCAAAUCGGCCAAAGAAAUGUGGGAUAAACUAAGAGAAAUCCAUGAGGGUGGUGACAACGUGAAAGAACAGAAAAAGGCUAUCUUGGUCACAAAAUAUGAAUCAUUUAAAAUUGAACCUCUUGAGGAUAUUGACAAAAUGUAUUGCAGGUUCACUGACUUGAUCAAAGAUCUCGAGAUGUUGGGCAAAGAGUACACCUUGGGAGAGAAGAACAGGAAAAUUCUCAAUGCAUUGAGCAAAGAAUGGGAAAAUAAAGUGACUGCAAUAGAGGAGGCUAAAGAUUUAAGUUCUGUGCCUAUAGAAUCUAUCAUUAACUCACUAACCUCUUAUGAGUUGAAACUGAAAUCUAAAGUGCAGGAGGAAGAGGAUGCUAGAGCAAAGAGAAACAUUGCUCUAAAGACUACUCAAGGUGAAGAUGAUACAGCUCACUUGGAUGAUGAAGACUCGGAUGGUGAUGAUAAUGAUCUUGCUCUCAUCACCAGAGACUUCAAGAGAAUCUUGAAUAAAAGAUAAUUUAAAAGGGGAGGACCUAGCAAUCAAUUCCAGAAUCAGCCAUCUAUCGCAAAGUACAAAGGAAAACAAGAUUUCAACAAGAAACAGUUGGACAAAUACUUCGAAUGUGGACAGGCUGGACACUAUGCAAACGAAUGCCCCAUGAAGAAGAUGAAAGAUGGGAAAGCUGAUCGAAAGCCAAGAUUCAAUAACUUCCAGAUUACUUGGAAUGAAUGCAACUCCGAACGGGAAGUUGAAGAAGAGGAUGAAUCAGCUCAAAUGGCCUUCAUGGCUGUUGGAAAUAAUGAGGUAAUGUCCACACACUCUCAAUCUGAAAGUGAUGAUGAUGAAGAUGAUGAUCUUGAAUCCUUUGUUGAAAAACUGCAUAAUGCCUUGAAGGAAUCUUAUGAUAAAAACAAGCAGUUAAAACAGAAAAUGGCUUUUCUCAUUCAAGAAAAUACAAGUCUUUUUCAACAAAAUAAACAACUAAAGACUGACAAUAAAAGUCUUGUAAGAGCCGGAUGUGAUGUUCAAAAUGAGCUUGAUAGAAAAAAAAAAUAUUUGUGAAAUGCUGAAGGAAAGACAUGGUGAUUUGAAAAAAAUAUGGACAACUUGGAUGAAACGUUGAAAGCCAGAAAGCAGGAUUUUAUCAAAAGGAACAUGGCAUCUACACAUCUUACUGCUUUUCAAAGAACAUUUGCACACAACAAAAAUGCACAUGAUUUCACAACAUAUAGAAGAGGUGGACUGAGAUAUGUCAAACCAGUAUAUGUUAAGAACUCUUCCAUUAUGUGUAGUUUUUGUUGUCAAAGGGGGCAUUUGAAAGGUGAUUGCUAUGUGAAAAGAAAUCUGAACAAAGGGAUGAAAUGCAUGUGGUUAGUUAGAUACAAUGCUAACUAUUGUGGACCCAAAAAUUAAAAUGGGUACCAAACACUUUCUCUUUUCAGGAAAAAUGCUCAAACAAGUCCAAAUGGUUCAUUGAUAGCGGUUGCUCAAGGCAUAUGACCGGUGAUCCCUCUUUGUUCAUAAAGCUGAAAUCAAAAUCAAGUGGAAAAGUGACAUUUGGUGAUGAUGUGAAAGUUAAGACAAUUGGAAUAGGUGAUGUUGGUAAGGAUGGUGAAACUUUUGUUCAUAAUGUGCUCUUAGUUGAUAACUUAGGUUAUAAUUUGCUUAGUGUUAGUCAAUUGUGUGAUAAAGACUUGAAUGUGUUGUUUAGAAAGCAUGAAUGCAUUGUGCUUGAUUCCAAAUACAAUGUUGUGUUCAAAGGUAAGAGGUUCAACGACAUAUAUAUUGUGGUUCUUGAUAGAAUUGAUUCAUCUAGGUUAAAAUGUCUUAAAGCUUCAAAUGAAGAUCCUUGGUUGUGGCAUAGGAGACUUUGUCAUUUUAACAUGGAUUUACUAAAGGAAAUUUCGAAAAAGGAGCUUGUUAGAGGCUUGCCAAAAAUCAGUUUUGAAAAGGAUAAAAUUUGUGAUGCAUGUCAAUUUGGAAAGCAAACAAAAGUUUCUUUUAAAUCAAAGAAGUGUGUAUCUACUUCCAAACCUUUAGAACUCUUGAAUCUUGACUUAUUUGGUCCUACUCAAAUCACUAGCUUGGGAGGUAAGAAAUACUGCUUUGUGAUUGUGGAUGAUUAUUCUAGAUAUACUUGGGUAAUAUUUCUUGCUCAUAAGGAUGAUGCGUUCAAGAACUUCACUUCAUUGUUUGCUAAAGUGCAAAAUCUGCUUGGUUUAAAAAUUGUUAGAAUUAGAAGUGAUAAUGGAACAGAAUUCAAAUAUUGUGGUUUUCCAGAAUUUUGUGAUUAUAAUGGCAUAACACAUGAGUUUUCGAUUGCAAGAACUCCACAGCAAAAUGGUGUUGUAGAAAGGAAAAAUAGGACUCUACAAGAGGCUGCUAGAACCAUGUUAAGUGAAUGUAGUUUGCCAAAGUACCUUUGGGCUGAAGCGGUAAACACUGCAUGUUAUGUGAUGAAUCGAAUCCUUUUGAGACCCAUUUUGAAUAAAACAUCUUAUGAACUGAUUUUUUAUAAGAAACCUACAGUUGGUUAUUUCAAGGUCUUUGGUUGUAAAUGUUUUAUUUUAAAUUUAAAAGAACAUCUUGGCAAGUUUGAGAAAAAAUCUGAUGAAGGAAUAUUUUUGGGAUAUUGCGAGAACAAAAGAGGAUAUAGAGUCUUUAAUAGAAGGACUCUUGUGAUAGAAGAAGCCAUACACAUAACAUUUGAUGAAACUAAUGAUGAUAAUUCCAAACAUUCGUGUGAGGAUGAUGAUGUAGGUGUUCGUGAAGGAAUGGAAAAGCUGAAAAUUGGAGAUGGAGGAAACUCUGAACCGGAAGCAAAGGAAAUGGAGAAUGAAGCUCAUGAAGAUCAAGAAAGGGAAGAUGAGGACAAAAAUGAUGAUCCAUUCAAAGAUCUUCCUAAAGCUUGGAAAUUUAGCCAAAAUCAUCCAAAAGAACUUAUAAUUGGUGAUCCAUCCGAGAAGGUAAACACUCGUUCCUCAUCUAGAAAAUUGAUAGAUAAUUUUGCCUUAGUCUCUCUUUUUGAACCCAAAAAUAUCAAUGAUGCCUUAACGGAUGAAAACUGGAUUUUGGCAAUGCAAGAGUGAUGAGAACAUGAAGAUUUGCAUGGAUUCCUUUUAUUUUACAAGUCUUCACAUUCUAAUGAUGGUUGAUGGUGCAAUCGGGCUCGAGAAUCAUUGAAGAUCCAAAUUUUCCAAAUUUUAAUUAGCUUCCAAAUCUUGAUUGGUAUCUUGAUUGAUAUCUUGAUUGAUUUCCAAAUUGAGAGUUAAGUAAGUUGUUUGAAUUAGGGAAUAAAGGCUAAGGUCAUGUUGACCAUAGUUAAACCAAUUUGAAUUAGUUAGUUUCCUAUUCUAGUUGAAUUAGAGUUUUAGGAAAGCAGUUAAUUGCUUCCAAAUUUGUUUAGGAAGUUGUGUCAAGUUUAGAAGUCAAGUCAAAUAAGGAAACUUGUAUUGUUUCCAAUUUAGAUUAGGGUUUUGAGUCUUGCAAGGCUAUAAAUAGCCAACUUUAUUUAACUAUUGAAGAAGACAAUCAUGAGAUGAAUAAAAAUUGAGAGUUUUCUCUUUCUUGUUCCUUUGGGAGCGUUCCUUGACACAAAGUGAGUUGUAUCUCCUUUGUUCAAGUUUCGGCUUAUCAAUUCAAGACCAUGUUGAAUUGUGGCGCCUUCUACACUUGCCUGAGGUUCACUAAUUCGUUUGGUUACGGGUUGAGAUAAUAUCAACAAGUUCGUAGUCACGGGGAUUAGAGGGGUCGUAAGGUUUCUCCAUCUUUGUAUCCAUAACCUGGUCAAGAUAGAUCCUUCCGCUGCCUGAUCGAUUCGGUUCUUCAAGACAGGUUCUUGUUGGAUCGAGUUCGUAUCAAAGAGGAACUUAAUCAAUUUGAGAGGAAUAAAGUUUGGACACUUGUUGAUAGACCUCAAAAUCAACCUAUCAUUGGCACAAAGUGGAUAUUUAGAAAUAAGUUGAAUGAUAAGGGUGUUGUUGUAAGAAAUAAAACCAGAUUAGUUGCUAAAGGAUAUGCACAAGAAGAAGGAAUCGAUUUUGAUGAAACAUUUGCUCCCGUAACUAGAUUAGAAUCUAUUAGAAUGCUUCUUACUUUUGCUUGUUUCAAAGGCUUCAAAUUGUUUCAAAUGGAUGUUAAAAGUGCCUUUUUAAAUGGUUUUAUUGAUCAAGAAGUAUAUGUGGAUCAACCUCCCGGUUUUGAAAAUGCAAAAUUUCCAUGUCAUGUGUUUAAACUAUCUAAAGCUUUAUAUGGUUUAAAACAGGCUCCAAGAGCUUGGUAUGAAAGACUAAGUGGUUUCUUGAUUGAAAAUGGUUUCAAAAGAGGUAUUGUGGACACCACACUUUUUACUAAACAAGUGGUAAAUGAUCUUCUUAUUGUGCAAAUAUAUGUAGAUGAUAUUAUUUUUGGUGCUACUAAUGAGUAUCUAUGCAAGGAUUUUUCCACCACUAUGCAAAAUGAAUUUGAAAUGAGUAUGAUGGGAGAAUUAAAUUUCUUCCUUGGACUUCAAAUACAUCAAACUCUUGAGGGAAUUUUUAUAAAUCAAGCAAAAUAUACCAAGGAAUUGUUGAAAAGGUUUGGCAUGGAGGACUCAAAGCAAGUUGGAACUCCAAUGUGCACUUCUACAAAACUUGAUAAAGAUGAAGAAGGUAAUCAUGUGGAUGAAAAGCACUAUAGAGGUAUGAUCGGAAGCCUACUCUAUUUAACCGCAAGUAGAUCUGAUAUUAUGUUUGCUGUUUGCUUGUGUGCUAGAUUUCAAUCUUGUCCAAAAGAAUCACAUUUGAAUGCUGUAAAAAGGAUUUUUAGGUACUUGAAAGGUACAUUAGACUAUGGUCUUUGGUAUGGUAGGUCUAGUGAAUUUGCACUAUAUGGUUAUUCGGAUGCUGAUUUUGGAGGUUGCCGUGUGGAUAGAAAGAGUACUAGUGGAACCUGUCACUUUCUUGGAAAUUGUUUAGUCUCUUGGUUUAGCAAGAAACAAAAUGCAAUCUCUUUAUCUACAACCGAAGCGGAAUAUAUUACCGCUAGUGCAUGUUGUGCUCAACUUUUAUGGAUGAAGCAUGCCUUGAAUGAUUUUGGAUUGUUGUAUGACUGCAUGCCUGUAUUCUGUGAUAAUACUAGUGCUAUAAAUCUGAUCAAAAAUCCUAUUCAGCAUUCUAGGACAAAGCAUAUAGAUAUAAAACACCACUUUAUUCGUGAUCUUGUUCAAAAAGGUGAAAUUUGUGUAAAUUAUGUUUGUUCUAAAGAUCAAUUUGCUGAUAUUUUUACAAAAGCUUUGCCAUUAGAUCAGUUCAUUCAUCUAAGAUCAAAAUUAGGGAUAAUUGAAAAAUCAGCUUAAGUUUUUCUUUCUUUCGGACGUCCGAAAGAGGAUGAACGGACGUCCGAUGAUGUUCUUCAGCUAUUUUCCAGAAUGCGCCUGUUCGGACGCAACUGUCGGACGUACAACUUCGUUCGGCCGUCCGACAGUGCAACGGCUCAUUUUUUAAAAACAACUUUCUUCCUCAUUUGCUUCAGACUCUUCCUAUUCUAUUUUCUCUCGGACGAAAACUCUCUUCUCUCUCACUCUCAAAUUCAUAUCAUUCUGAAACCCCCAUUCCCAAAUUGACUUAACCAAAACUGUUCCUAAUCAGUUGCGAUUCAUUUCUCCUGAUCAUUUCACAGAAUCAGCUAUCAUUUCGCACAUUCCCAAAUUUUCCUCAAAAUCAUACUUUCUCAUAACCGCUCUGUCAAAUCCUGUACAAGGCCUUUCUGUCCCAAAAUUUCUGUGCAACUCACUUCCCUACUACUGUGUGCAUCAUUUGCAUCCUUCAUUCCACACAUUUCGCACAAUGGUGAAUCUUAGAGGAGGAAAGGUUACUGCCGGACGCAAGCUUCCACUCAGGGAUGAGGAUGAGGAUCUUCCUACGGUCAAACGUUCAUCCAAGCGUUUCAAGAGAGGAGCCAUAAAGGGUCAAAUGUCACGGCCUACUCCACAACCCACUUCUCAACCAGAAUCUGGACAGGGGACCUCUUCUCAACCGCCUCCUAAAUCAGCCCCUCUCCCUCCAUUCUUUGAUGAUGCUGCGAAAGACAAAUACUCCUAGAUAUCCCAGAAAGGUGUCAUCCCUCAACGAACUGUAAACCCUUCUGAAUUUCGCUCCAUAGGUUUAGAAUCCAUUCUGAGUCUAUUUGCUUUCCAGAAAUGGUCACAUCUCAUUUCUAUGCCCAAUGUCUAUUAUCCUGAAAUGCGGCAUCAAUUUUUUACCAAUCUUAGGAAAGGAACUGACCAAACUGAGAUCAUGUCCAGGGUAAAUGGGGUAGACCUAAUCUUUGAUUCUGAAACUGUGAAUUCCAUUUUAAAUACUACCAUUGAACGUUUAUGCAAAGAUAAAAUUGCUAAUUUCUUUUCCUAUGAAGAGCUCCCUACUGCUGAUAAUCAUUUUGAUGGGACAAAAAUGUUAACUUAUUUCAAAAGAAGUGUUUCCUCACCUGCUGAUGCUAAACUGAAUGAUCUUGCUCCUGUGAAUCUAAUUGCUUUUUCAAUCAUUUCAAACCUAUUUGUACCCACUGAUGGCUACAGAACUGAUGCAAACAAAAUGGAGUUGUAUCUCUUUUAUUGUUUUCGAGAAAAAAUUCGUAUUGAUUUUGGUUUUGUCAUGUGCAAGUUUUUACUUCGCUACGCCACUGAUUCUCGCAGAAAAUUAUCUUAUGGAAAAUUUCUUCAAAAGAUAUUUGAGUUUUACAAAGUUCCAACUCUAGGUGUUUGUCCCAAAGAAGCAUCUUCUUAUGCCUUUACCAAAGCAUGUUUUGAAAGAAAAAAUCUUGUUUUUAAAGAUAAUCUGUGGGCAUAUAAGGGGGCAUCAUCUAGUGAACAGAGGUCUAAAACUGUACAUGAUCCUUCAUUCAUUUCACUCACUCCCAUUCACCCUAAGAAGUCUGCCACUAAAGCAUCUUCCUCUUCCAGUGAUGAAGUAAUUGAGUUUUUUCGUGAACUCAAACAGCAUGUUCUUCUUCUAGAACAUGGCCUAAUGCUCACCAUGUCCUCUGAGCAACAAACUGCCUUUCUAGACAAAAAGAACCUUCUUUUUUCCCCCCUGUGGUUGAGGAAGUUUCACAUGACAAAGAACCUCGCACCACUGAUCCAGGUUCAUCAGUUUCAGAUCCAAAUUCAUCAACUCCGGUGACUCCUCAUGGCCCUUCCACAUCAGACAAAGGCAAGGCACCAAUUGAAGAAGCUGCUGAAGAUGAUGAAGAAACUGAUGAGGAAGACCUCUCCCAAUAUCAGCUCUCUCGAAGAACACCUGGAUCCACAUAGUUCACUACUUAGGACAUUUGCAUUCUGUUUGUCUAUUUUAUGUGUUUGUAAUGUUCAACAUUUGUAAUGUUUUUCUUGUUGGUACUGUAUGUUUAUGUUAAGUAUUUUGAAUGAUGACUGUGUUUAUGGAUGUUUAAGUAUUUUGGUGUAAUGAAUUUGAUUUGCAUUGAUGAAUGUGUUUGUGGAUGUGUUGGAAGUGAUUGGUUGCCCUUUUGUGAUGACAAAAAGGGGGAGAUGACUGGAUUGAUUGAUGAUUGAUGAUUGGUGAUGUUGGAUUGAUUGUUUAAAUUUGGAUUGGCUGAUAUGCUUAAUUGUCAUAUUUUUGGAAAAUUGUUUAAUUCGGAUGGGCAGCCAAGUCAGGGGGAGUUUUUCAAAAUUUUCAAAAUUUUAUGAUCCACUAAGUAAGGGGGAGCUCUUGAGAAAGGGGGAGCUUAUACUGCAAUCAUCAAAUUUCAUUUCAAACUUUUGUUUUGUCAUCAUCAAAAAGGGGGAGAAUGUUAUUCUUGGUUUUGAUGAUCACAAAAGUUCUUUGAAAUGUUUAUACAGACCAAGAAAGUGAACACUUUGAUCAGGCCUGAUGGAACAAAGAAAGCAUAUGUUCACUACGAUACUUUGGAAAUGGUAAACAAGAUUGGAAUAAUAUAAACGAAUCUAGUCAUUGUUUUGUUCCGAUCAAAGAUACUAUCUUUUAAAGUGUGACAAUGUUGUUGAUGAUCACAAAGUUCUUUGAAAUGUUUAUCUAACCUUCUUCAAAUAUAAGUAUCUUUGCCUACCAAAAAAUCAGGUACGCAUAUGUCAUGAGAUGCAAAUCAACCAAAAGAAGAAGCAAAAACAGGACAUUCAUGUCGGACGUCCGGAAGGAAUCUGUCGGACAUCCGAAAGGAUAAAGAGCAUCAAGAAGGAAGCUCUGUCGGAUGCUCGUAAGGAAGCAUCGGACGUCCGGAAGGAUCGGACGCUUGCCAUCGGACGCUCAUCAACCGCAUCGGACGUCCGAAAAAUUCCAAGAUGACUUGCCAACUCUCUGCCAACGAUCGGACGCUGUGCUGUCGGACGAAACAAACGCAUCGGACGUCCGAACUUCAACUUGGCUGUUCUCGGACGAUUGGUUCGGACGAUGAUUUGAUCGUCGGACUUCCGACAGCUCCAACGGCUAGUUGACUCUUCAGCUGCCUUCAAUCCGUUGGAAGCAUUGAUGAAGCCCAUUUCUGGUUCCCUUUAAAAUAAAACUGGUCUGAACCAAGCAGGGACUUUUGCACACUUUGUUUACAAGAUCUCAAGAGAUAUUUUAGUUAGAAAAUAGUCUCCAAAGUAAGAUUUGUUCUCUAAGUGGUGUGAAUUUCUUGUGAGCUUUUCUCUUGUGGUUGAAUGUCUCAUUAGUGUAGCUUUGUUGAGGGUUAUAUGAGUGAUUGUAAAACUUCUUAGCUUGACUAAGUGAGGCUUAGGGCAAGGAGGAAGUGCUCCCUCCAUUGUACAUCUAGUUGAUCAUCUUUCAUCAAAGAGAAGUUGCUCAACCUUGUGUUUGGUCUUCAAGUUUGAGGAGAGCUUGGUAGACAAUCGGUUUGAUAUUUUAUUUUAAUUUUUGUUUAAUAAAAUUUUCAUUGCUUAUUUAUUCUUAUUUUUCUGAUCAAUAUUGCUCUUGUCUUCUAAUCUACUUGGUUGAUCAUUGCUAGAAAAUAAGGUAAAUUUUUAUUAAAGAAAAAGUGCAUAAAUUCGAUUAAGAUUUUAAUCAACCUAAUUCACCCCCCUCUUAGGUUGUCUUUGGGCCUUACACCACAAUUGCCUUACGUAUUAGAAGAGCCCUAUUCUAACCAAAUAACAUACUACCAGGGUUAUUUUAGGUUAGCCCGCGUAUUUUCCUGACACAAAUGCAAUCAUGCCAGUUAUCACUAUUUUGAGACAAUCAAACAAUUACGGAUUUAACGUCUCAAUUGACAAUAGAUUAUCAAAUUUACUAAUUAUCCAGAUCCAAGACAAUCAAUUAAUUAAACAAUCAUAAGCACUGUAACCAGGGAAUAUGCGAAUACCAAUAAAUAAAAAAAAGUAAAAUUAAAUCGAUCUCACAAUUUUAGGCGAGUCAAAGCAUCCGUUGCUCCUUAACUAGAAAAAGGGGUUUAGCUCCUUAUUGAUGAAAAAAUCCCAUACAAAACUGCAUAAAUAGUUGCGACGUAAUCUCCCAAUUAGGGAGGAAAAAACUGUGGAAAAUCGAAUAAUGGAAAAAAAAAAAAAAGACUACCUAGUCAAAAAGAUGAUGACCCCUUAUUUCUACCCUAAGUGUAACAUACGUGAAUUCAAAACCACUAAAGGACGAAAUUGUCCAAAACCCAAGAGAAGUCUUCUGCUACUCCCCAUACCUAUUGAAUUACUAAUCUAUUCUAAUGCUUGGCUCUCAUGUGCGGCGGCCCCCCAGGAGAGAAACAACUCCACCUUUUGUGCUUCUUUUUUGAAUGUUGUCUUCGAUCUAAUUACCAAGAAGGGUCGCGAUUUGAUAUUUCAAAAAUGUCCCUGGAUGCCUGCUACUUGAACUUUUUCCUGAUAACUGUCAAAUUGACACUUGUUAUGAUAUUUUCGUUCUACUCCCUGAAAUAAAUGCAAAAUACUAAAAGUGAGUAGAAUCCAACAAUUAAUCCACAUCGGGUCAGGUAAUAGGGGAAAUUAAUUAUAAAAUAAAUGAUAAAAUUGUAACCUAUCAAUUCCAUCCACACCUAAACCAUGCUUGUUCUCAAGCAUGAGAACAGUAAACAAGCACCAAUAUUUGACAAUGGUCAUUACUCCUUCUACCAUAUUGACAAGAUACCGAGAAAAUCAUAUAUCAAGCAUCCGUGACCAAAAUCCGAGAAAUAUCACCCCAGUUAGCUUCUAAACCACAAAGUGCUCCAAUUUCAGAUUAACUAAUUUAAGACAAAGGAAUGGCGCACAACAUUUAUUAGCAAAUGGUCUAACUAUUAAUCAAAAUCUCAACAUUAAAUUCAUAAAUCGGUAAGCUGACUUUUAUUAUACACUAACACAACCUUCACUUUUUUAUCACAUUUUUCUACUUUUCUCUUUUUUUUAUUCUUUUUUUUUUUUUUGCUUUUCUCAAUAGUAACAAAAGACUUAGUAGCUAGCCAUUUGAGUCUUUUGACGCGAACUCUGAUAUUUGUUAGAUGAAAGAGCCCGGUUACUCAGCUUCUAUCGCCACGUGACCAUGUACUCAUAGCAAUUACUAUUUUUCGACGCGAGAAUCAACACUUUUGAUGAAGAUCCCCGGUUACUCGAUAGUAAAGCCUAGCGGAGUACAGUCAACUCUUAUUCACAGCUAAAUAACACAAAAACUCAAAAUAAUAUAAAAAUCAAAAGAGAAUUUACAUCACCUAGCCUCAUUUUCAAACAUGGAGAACUGAGGUUAAUAACCGGACCAAUUCACAUGAAAAUGCCAACAAUCAUUCCCUAUACUUAGAAAACUUAACCAAAAAUUAUAAGAGUAAAACAAUCACCGAUAUUCACCCAAGAGAUGUUCUUGGAUUCAACCACAUUAACUUGAUACAUUCUUAUUAUUAAAACUUGGUUAAAGUAGAAAUAGUGGCAACAAUCCAACAUCAAAUCUUGGCAUGCACAUGUGAGCUAAUCACUAAAAAGAAAGAAAGAAAAUGCACGAAAGAUGGCCAAAUAACAAACAAAAAAAAUAAUAAUAAUAAAGAAAAAACAUCUAGAAACUAGAAACGCUAGCACCCUCAUUUGUUCCCCCCCACACCUGAAUCCUACAUUGUCCUCAAUGGAGGAAAUAAAACAAUUAAAGCGAAAAGAACAACGAAAUUUUCCUUUCGGGUAGCUAAGGGGUAGGCAGGAACAGUGGAGGAAAGCCGAUGUGGUGGAAGUACGCGGCCAAAUUUUGAAACAUCCUUGCCACUUGGCGGGUGAUGUUCGCCAACUACGUGGUGAAUCUGAGCCCGCAAGUGGUAUGACUUAACAUCAGAGGCCAUCGGUGGGGGAGGCGCAGAAGAAGAGGGCUUGGGUCUCAGCAUUUUCUCCAAAUAUCAUUUCAAUCAGCAAGAGACAAGAAUUGCCCACAAAUAAUGUAAACAGCAAAUUCAAAGCAAUAACAAUUUAAUAGCCACUGGUGCCUCCCAUAUAUCAAUAGAGAGCGACACAACUUGCCUACCCAAAAUCUCUCCAAAUAUCUCCAAUUGCACAAGAACAACUCAGUCACACAUGCCCAGCAGUCAAUCAGGUAUCCAACCAAAUAGAACUGACACAUGCAAGGGAAAAUAUUCCAACCAGUGCCACUGGUGCAAAACGUAGUCCAAAAUCAAUGAAAUUGCUAUAGCAAAGUAGAGCAAUAGUAAACCAAUAGUCCCAAGUGUUAAUCCAAUCACAAGAAAGAGAACGUGCCACCAACAGAGCAAUAUUAGAGCAGAGCAAUUGCUAAUAAUGUCUCCCAAUUCAUCAGGCAACUUCAAAAAAAACUAACCAAAAUCCUAAAAGAAACCUCAACGAACUUAGCAAUUAAAAGCAAUGGUCAGAAUAUUUCCCAGCAAUUCAAUUAGAUGCAUCCAAUUUGAAUAAGCAAUGUAAAUGGCAUAGAAGCCUCCCAAUCAAACAAACGAAAACAGAAAUUACCCCACUAAAGUGGUAAUAGACGUUCCAAGCAGACGAUAUCCAAAUUAAUCUCCACAACUGACCUCAAGUUACUCAGUAAUAAAGCAGCAGAGUGGGUUACAAUUGAUUUCAAAAGUUGUCCACGCACUCGAAAUUGCAAAAUCACCAACAAGGGUUGCUGGACAUGUUAAAGAAUAGGAGUUAAAGGAAUACCUCCACCUUGACGACUACACGGAGCGAUGGUGCAGCAAGAGGAAAGGCCGGCAGCGCUGCGGCUUGGUCGCGAACAGGAGCUACGGUGGAGUUGUGGUGGUGAGAGAGCUGGUGAGAGGGGCGCGAGGACGGUGGUGGUCGUCGGCGCUGGCGGUGGCUGCUCCUCGUGGAUGCAGGCUGCGGCGUCUCCGUGGGCGGCGGAUGAAAGAGAGCCGUGCAGUGGCAACGUGUGAACGAGUGGCGGACGAAAUGGGAGAGAGGGGAGAGCGCGCGCGAGGGAGAGAGAAGAGGGAGCUGGCGGCCGGCGCGAAAGCUUCGGGCGACACAGAGGAGAACAGGGGAGAAGAAAGAAAGAAGAAAGAAGAAGAAAAAAAGAAAAAAAGAUUUUUUUUUAAAAAAAUUCGCAUCUUGAAAAUCUAAACUACGGUGAAACAAGGAAAAAAAAAUUUUGAAAUUUUUUUUUUGAAAUUGAGAAACCUAGCUACGAUUGAAAAUUUUUCUUUUGUUUUUUUGUUUUUAAUAGUUUUUUUGCAAAUUUUAUUUUCGAAAUUCAAAAUUAGAGAUUAACAGAAAAUCAAUAACUGUUUUUGAGUUUUUUGAAUACUUACCUUUCUCGCGAAUGUGACAUGGGCACGUGAUGAAGGCACGGAAUGAGGAGCUCUCCAGAUGACUUGACGCGGGCACGUCAUGAGGACAAGAACCCUUUCUGACAAAUCUGACCAUGAGCUCUUCAUGGGACUUGACGUGGGCACGUCAAGGGGAUCGGAACCCCUUCUGAUGAAUCUGACCAUGAGCUCUUCGUGGGACUUGACACGGGCACGUCAAGGGGAUCGAAACCCUUUUUACUAAGUACCAGGAAAUCGCAAUGUGCCACGCGUCCAGUUGACACGGGCGCGUCAUGUCAGAUAGAUACCUACGAAUCAUCAAAAACGAAAAUUGAAACCAGAAAUCAGUCAAACUCAAGAAAAAUAUAUUUAAACUAACAAACAAAAUCGAACAAACAACUAAAAGAAAUUGGGUUGCCUCCCAAUGAGCGCCUUUCUUUAAUGCCUUUAGUUAGAUAUUAUCAUGUUUUAUUCAUGGAGGAUAAAAUCUUGUUGCUUGUCUUAAUGUUUCAUCCUCUAUAUAGUCCUGAUAGCUCUCGUAAAUAGAGUAAUUCUUGGGCACACGACCUACAGGCUUCCUGGACUAGUAAAUGGCGCCAAACAAGUCAACGAUAACUUGCAUCCUCCAUUCACUCCUCCCUCACUUGCAUUUAUUGGUUCAAGUUAUCUUGCCAUCACCACUCUUAAUUUAUUCCUGUCAUGAAAUUCAAAAUUUUUUGGUAUAAUAAAAUCAAUUUCAUUAACAAAAAUUGACGAAUAAGAGUCAGGAGAAUAUUGAUGAAGGAGUGGAGGAGAUGUCACCGCAUUUGAAAAUUGUUCACUGGAUUUAUUCACUUGAACGAGUUGAUCAUGGAGUCUCAUUUCUUGCACUUCAACUUCCUUUUUAACUGCAUCUUUAAAUCCGUUUUCUUGAAACGCUUGCAAUUCCAUGUCAUUUGGCCGUACAAUUGCACUCUCAUCUUCCUCAAGGUUGAUAUUGGUUUGUGCGGGCAAUUCAUCAAGGUGAGAAACUAAUCGCGUUAUUCUGGAUGUCACUAGAUGCACUUGAUCCGCCAGGUUACUAAUGCUUGCUUGUGUCUCCUGAUGAAAUCGAUAUAUAUUAGUAGCGAAUAAUUCAAUCAUUUCUUGAAGAGAUAUACCUGACAUGGAUGAUAGUUGUUGAGGCUCUUGCUGUUGAGAACCCAUUGGCCUGGUUGCAUAAUUAAAAUUGGAAUCAUUCCACCAUCCUUGAUCAUACCUGUCUAGAUAAGGGUCAUACCACGUUUGAAAUCGAGAUAAAAAAUCUCCAAAAGUAUCAAUUGGAGCACUUAGAUUAUCUUGAAAUGCGGGGCAUGUGUCGGUUAAAUAAUGUGAGGCAAAAUAAGUUCCACAAUUUGUAACAACCCAUUGACCAUUAGGAAAAACACGAGUCUCAUAACCCCAUUCAGGAAUAAAGUCUAGUCUAUCAUCAAAAUAUGGAAUGUUAGCAGCCAUAACUAUGUAAAAAAAUAAAUAAUAAAAAUAAAAACAAGAUGAACUCAAAAAGAAACAAAUAACUAGCGCCAGUCCCUGGCAACGGCACCAAAAAUUGACAGGUUGUCAGCCUGUGCAAUAAUAAAAACCUGCUCAACUAAAGUUAAUUUUUGUAAAUCGUGGUAAGUAGGGUCGAAUCCACAGGGAUUGGGUGUAACUGUUUCUUUUCAAAUUCACAGUAACAAAGGAGGUGUUUUUGUGUAGAAGGUGACAAUCAAAGAAAUUCAAAUAGAAUCUAAGAAACUACUAAAAAAUUAAAUAACAAAUUACUAAAAUCAAAUGGGUGAUAAUUAAGGAUCUAGCCAAGAAAUAAUUUCAGCAAUGGUUCACCUAAUUGAUCAUUAAAACAAAGGCAAUUCUAAUUAUUUACUAAUAAAUAGGUUAUAACUGCCAAACAAGCGAUGACAGUCAACCCCUUCUUACUAUAUCGGUGAUUAAGGUACGCCCGUUAAUCACUACUCUAAUUGAGAAAUAAUCUUAGGUACGUCCGUAAGAUUUAAUUCCCCAAUUGCCUUACGUAUUAGAGGAGCCAUAUUCUAACCAAAUAACACACUACCAGGGUUAUUUUAGAUUAGCCCGCGUAUUCCCUGACACAAAUGCAAUCAUACCAGUUAUCACUAUUUUGAGACAAUUAAACAAUUACGGAUUUAACGUCCUAAUUGACAAUAGAUUAUCAAAUUAACUAAUUAUCCGAACUCAAGACAAUCAAUUAAUUCAACAAUCAUAAGCACUGUAACCAGGGAAUAUGCGAAUACCAAUAAAUCAAAGAAAAAAGUAAAAUUAAAUCGAUCUCACAAUUUUAGGCGAGCCAAAGCAUCCGUUGCUCCUUAACUAGAAAAAGGGGUUUAGCUCCUUAUUGAUGAAAAAAUCCCAUACAAAACUGCAUAAAUAGUUGCGACGUACAUUCUCCCAAUUAGGGAGGAAGAAACGGUGGAAAAUCGAAUAAUGGAAAAAAAAAGACUACCUGGUCAAAAAGAUGAUGACCCCUUAUUUCUACCCUAAGUGUAACAUACGUGGACUCAAAACCACUAAAGGACGAAAUUGUCCAAAGCCCAAGAGAAGUCUUCUGCUACUCCCCGUAUCUAUUGAAUUACUAAUCUAUUCUAAUGCUUGGCUCUCAUGUGCGGCGCCCCACUAGGAGAGAAACAACUCCAGCCUUUUGUGCUUCUUUUUUGAAUGUUGUCUUCGGCCCAAUUACCAAGAAGGGUCGCGGUUUGAUAUUUCAAAAAUUUCCCUGGAUGCCUGCUACUUGAACUCUUUCCUGAUAACUGCUAAAUUGGCACUUGUUAUGAUAUUUUCGUUCUACUCCCUGAAAUAAAUGCAAAAUACUAAAAGUGAGUAGAAUCCAACAAUUAAUCCACAUUGGGUCAGGUAAUAGGGGAAAUUAAUUAUAAAAUAAAUAAUAAAAUUGCAACCUAUCAGGUCUUGCGUCUCGCUUUUAUAUAUUUGAGUGGCAAAAACCAGACUUUUAAUAGUUGAGUGACCAAAACUCGACGAUUGCAAAAGUUUAGUGGCCAACCGGAUAAUUUGUUCUAUAACAAGGUAUCUUACUCAAAGUACUGAUAUUUGGUGAUGCAAUUCGUUGCAUGAAUGAUGUAUCAAAUGAAAAUUAAGAAAUCUACUUGAAGCUAGAAAAUGAAAGGAACUUUACCCAGAGUUGACUCAACUAAAUUUCACAUAUACUCUCCUUUCAUUUUUGGGGAAGAGUGGCGUAAGAAUUGCACUAUUAAGAGAAGAAUUUGAGAUGGGUUAAAUCUACACUUUCAUAAUCUAGACCUAUACGGUGUAUAAAAUAAACGGUUGUACUAAUCAACAAUAUUUGAUUAUUGUUCUAUAAUUUAAAAAAGAAAAAAGAAAGAUGAAUGUGGUCCUGAAGAGACGAAGACUCACCACCAAUUGGCAUUUUAUAGACAAUUACCUUUAUGGAAUAUUUGCUGUUGCAGGAGGAGCCACAUACUUUAAUUAGCUACCGAUUUGGCAACGAAGCAAGAACUUGUUUUAACACGGUUCAUCAAAAUUGUGCUUACCUUGAAACCAACGGUGCAAUUCCUUGAAUCUAUAAGGAUAAAAUUUUAUGACUGUGAUGUUAAUGAGGGCACUGUUCUGGUAGUAUAAAAUUUAAAGAAAUUAUUGUAAGAUUUUUCAAGGUUCGAGUCUCGUGGUUGUGUGCUUAGUUAAUCAACAUAUAUAUUAAUAUGCAGCCAUAAUUUGAUGAUUAAUUAUAAUUUUCUUCUUUAAUCUGAUACUUUAACCUAGGAACCUCGGCAUCCAAACAUUGAGCAAGCAGGAAAACUUGCCACUGAACUCAUUAAUUCUGUUCUCAAAGAGAAAUAGAGAAAAUGCAAAAGGGAAAAACAUAAACAACAGACUUCUGAAACUAAUUGAUUCCGACAAGGGCAAAUAAAACAUUUUUGCAUGAGUUGAAUUGCCUGUCUUACGAAUGGCCAAUAUGCCAAGUUCAGGGCAAGUAUACCUAGAUUACAAUUUACAAGUGGCUGAAAUUAACAUAUUUACAGUGAAUUUAGUCUAUUGUGUUGCCUACAGAUCCAUAUUUAUACUGGCUCCGUAGAGUCCUCAGAUCAAGUUAAUUUGCCAUUCAUGAAACAUAAACACAAACUCCGUACAAAUUGGGUAUUAUUUAUCCGUCAGUUCUACCAACUUUCGUGGUGUCUUCCAAGAUGGUACAAUGUAAUUCUGUAUUGUGUCCACUGCCCACUGUCUGUAAAUGGUUUGAGAAAUCAAGCAUAAUCUGUUACUAUAGUCCCAUGGUCCCCAAAAAGACAGUCCCAGCUCUGGGCCAAAGUAGAAUAUGAGCUCCGGUUAGUCAAUGGUCGGCCGUUGCAAUUCACACAGGACUAGCUCUCUUUUUUUUUCUCCUUACCCCACCAUUGCAAGUCAGGUUCCGUCUAUGGUGGAAAGCUGACUCAUCCGUGCAUGGUGGGAAGAGCAAACGAAAUUUGGCCAAGACAUCAUUGCGGGGCCGGGCAAGAGCUAGCUAUUAAAUGAACUACUGGAUGCCAGGUAGAAACGGUUGAUUAUGUGGUUCCCUUCUAUUUCAACAAGAAAUGAAAAAACAAGCCCCUCAACAACUUAUGGGCACUUGUUUACACCCAAAAAUUGGCAUCAGCUGGGGAGCAGCUCCCAGGCCAAAUUGGCGAUGGACAAAAUUUGAAGGGCAAUUUUGGUAAGUUAAAAGCUCAUAAAUGUAUUUAUGUGUACCCCAAUCUCAAGGAUUAAAUUUAAUUGUUAGUUCGCGUAGAUGAGUAAUUAUAUACAUAAGUGAUACGGUUCUCGAUCAACUCGUUUCGAGACACGUAGUACGUUUGCCCAAGGAUCUAACGAGGUAAUCCAACGCUUGGAUUGUGGGUCCUAAAACCAACACAGAUGACACGAAUCGGUUGAAAGUGGUGGAGUGACGACUCCAAUUGACGUGGUUACUCAAGUGGAUAAGUAGGUAGAACAAUCAAGGACAAGACGCAGGAUUGCUCAAUAACCCUUACCAAAGCAAGUAGAAGGCUCGAAUCUCUCUUACAAGAAGAAUCGAAAAUAAUCAAACUUUAUUGAUAAAACGUCUACCUUAAUGCUUACAAAGCAAGUCUUUAUAUAGGCAAAACUAAUGAAACCCUAAUAUCCGAAACCCUAAUAUCGAAAAGCUAGAUGGUCGGCCACUCCUUGGACAAGGUGGACCGAUCCAUGGACUCAAUAAAAAAGGGCCUAGUGGUUCGGUCAUCCUUAGACAAAGGUGGGCCGAAUCCAUGGCUAACAAAAAAAACUAAUCUAAACUUAAGACUCCUAAUACUAAGGCCUAAUCGGCCAUAGCCCUCUUGGCUCUUUACGGGCUCUCUUCACGGGUUUGGAUCAUCGUGUAGACAACUGGGUUAUCACCUUCCAAGCCUUCAAUGUCUCAAUGAAAUCCUUGUUGGUCUUGAACAUUCCGCACAAGGGUUUGGAGUGAUUCCUUGAAUUGCUUAGCCCGUGCACGUGUGACUGGGUCCAAUGAUACUCGAACUGGGUCAUUACGUGGGCCAAGGUCCGUGCACACAUCAGUCCCCUCCUCUUGAGAAGGAUUUGUUCUCAAAUCUAGAUGGGGAUGAAAGAUACUAACAAGAGUUAGUAGUAUGACAACUCAAAUUGACAGUGCGUUUGGAGGUCAGCCACGUUGGGAAUAAAUGACAGGUCACGAGCCAAGUUAAAUGCCGUUUGGUCAGCUUCAUGAGGCUCUCAAACAAGGACAUGCGCCAAGAUAGGAAAGAGCUUUUGUAAGGCUCACGAAACUUCCAGGUAGCAAUCCAAAGCUCUCUAAUCAGCCGUCGGCCAUGGAUUGUCAUAUUGUCACCUACACAAUAAAUCUCAUAGUUAGUGGUCAUAGGCAUACAAUUGUGCAACAGCUUACCAUUUUCAUGCACAAGAUAAGGAUCUUCAUAAUAAUGCUCAUGGGAGCAAGAGAAAUUCCGAAUCGGGUUGUUCAAGGUGGUAUGAUUCUUCCCUGGUUGUUGCUGAUUUGGCGCAACUUGUCUAUCUGGAGGUGGAACAUUGAACCAAUUGGGUUGCACUUCCCUAGAAGCACGAACCAGUGAUGUAAGACCAACAUUCGGAUCUUGAUUGACACAUUUGUGGGCAUCACCCGACAUAAGUGGUAGCAAUGAAGUGAAACGCACUCCAUACGAAUCGCAUGAAUUUGCGCAAGUUGGAGUUGAUGAAGUAAGCUUGUGGUGACCAGCUUUAGGACAUGUGAAGAAGCACGAACGUGCACAACUUUCAGCAGGAAUAAGCACGAAAUCGGGUUGCAAGUCUUUAACCAUAGUUGGAAAAUUUUGAACAGCGUUACAACCUACAAAAACAAAAUAACCUUCAACUUGAAAUAAUUCAGAAAUCGGAUAAAGAACUAAUGGUACAUUAUUAACUAAAUGGUAAGAAGGUGUAGAACAAGAUUUAAAUGUGAAAACUCCCUUUGACACUUCAAUGUGCCUUUCACCACUUGCUUCAACUUGACAUUCCAGUGCUAGUCCUUUACACUUCUCAUCAACACCUACAUAAGAGCAACAAGAGUUAGUGCUAGUAACAUGCUCAAAAUAAGGCAAAGGUGAGGAAUGAACUGCAAGUAGAGAACAAGCAAUAGAAUCUAGAAUUUCCCUUUUAAGAUGAGCUCGAACGAAUCCUCCAAUGGCGCGGACAGGUUUGAAUGGACAUUGUUCCAUGAAUUGAUACCAAAAAGAUUUAGUUCCUAGAAGAUAAACUCCAUGGAAACUCGCAAAGUGUCCAAGUGACUUUGGGAUGGAACAUGCCAUGAUCAACUCUACUUGACUUUAUUUAAUCUGGGCAAAUGAAGAGAUACUAAACAAAACACAUGUUAGGCGGUUAGCAAACAAAAUGUUCACACUUCAGCCUUUGUAAACACGGUCAACUCCUUCUCUUUACUCUUUACUACGACUAAAUUGGUCUUGCCUUUUCCCACUCCAUUCUUCUCGGACCAUUGCUCACUCAUUGUACAUGAGGUUUGAUUUUCUUUGUCUAGCUCAUGUUCAAGGCUUGGUUGCAACUCAUUCAUAUUUGGCUCUUCAAUCAACGAGGAACUAGAAUAAAAUUUUUCCUUAUUAGCUCUGGUUGACACAUGAUCAAGUUGCUCCACGUGUGAAUCCAGCACUUGGCUAAGUCUUUCUAUCAUGGAAUCAAUCAAUGCCUUAGUCCGACUUCGGAAUUCAGCCUUUGAUUCACGAAACUUUGACUCAAUUCGAGAAUUCUCAAACUCCUUGUCUUGAUUGUCAAGACACUUCUUAAAUGAAUCUCGUUUGCUUGAGGUUGACCUCGAUUUAGAUGCUCGACACAAACUUCUUUGCUCCUUCUCAUACUCAUCACAAUCUCGUUUAUACCUUUCAUAUACAUACAAAGCACGAUAGCGUUCCAUCUCUUCCCAGAGUGAACGAAACUCAUGUUGUGAACUAGAUUCCAUGGAACUGUGCUUGGGAGUAGGCCACUUGGAACCCCUUCUCUUGAGAGGCUCAUUCUCCAAGAAUUCUUGGUUGUAUGAGUAAGAGGCAACUCCGCUAGACAUGAUUACUUGACCUGCAAAAAUGGUUAGCAAAGAAAAGGAAUAUUCCUCCCACACACAAACUCACGCAUGUACACUCUAUUCUCGUGUAUCACUCAUCCUCGUAUGUUCACUCAAAGCACUCUAAUAAUCUUACCAAAAUCCUAUUACCUAUCGAAUUGGGUAGUCGAGAAAUGCCACACAAGUCCAAUAAAUGUCACCAACCGUUUCCACAAGAGUAUUGAAGUAACAAGACACGAAUUGGAGGUGAAAAGAAUGGAAUACACACGCCCUUUGGAAGGUUCCAAGUGGCGGGCAGAUUUGAGUAAUGUGCUAGUGUGAAUGGAAUCUCAAUGAAAACCUAACUUCCUAAAAUGCAGGAGUGUGUUCCUAGAAUGUAGGAAGGUGUUCCUAAAAUAUAGGAGUGUGUCCCUAAAAUAUAGGAAAGAAUAUAGGAGAGUGUCCAAGUGAAAACAAAAUAGUUAUCCAAGUGGUCUACUUAGUUUUCUAAUUGAUUUUGGGAAACAAGUUAGUUUUGGAAAUCCUUUAGAAAACCUUUCCUUCUUGAAAAAACUUUUAGAAGCUUUCAAAUCCUAACCCAAGAAAGCUAUAAAUUAGAUUUGGUUUCCUUCUUGAAACAACUUCUAGAAACUGCCAAAUUCUAACCCAAGAAAGCUACAAAUCAGAUUUGGUUUCCUUUUUGAAACAACUUUUAGAAACUUCCAAAUUCCUUUCCAAGAAGACUUAUAAAUCAGAUUUGGUUUCUAACUCUUCCAACCGAAAUUUCAGAUUUUUCUCCUUCCCAAACUCCCUCACCAAGAUCGGUUGGGACACUAUAAACCCUUCCUCUCAGCCGCACUUUCAUGCACAAAUCAGUUUCGGACUUACAAAAAAUUUUUGUUCAAGAUACAAGGCUGUUCGGUUUCUCUCCACUCUUUCAAGAAUAAGGCAAUUUCGGUUUCUUGGUGCAACAAUGGUUUCUCCACAAAAAGGUAUAGACAGCCCUACUCAAGCUCCUCCCCAACGGGUUAGUCAAGAUGUACCCAAGAAAUUUACACCAAAACCAAGGAAGCCCUUCACCGAUGCUAGAACGUACAAGAAGAUGUUCAAGAGAAAGGUGAGUCAAAUUCCCAAGUAACAAGUAGUUCAAGAACUUCAAGAAGUGGUUGAUCAAAACUUUUGAUUCUUUUUCUUUGUUCAAUUUUCUGUUUUGGUUAGGAAAUAUGAUGUAAGUAACUGUUUGGGCAAUAAAACUUGGCUUUCCUCUCUUGUUAUUCUUUGUUUCUUGCCAAUCAGAUUCCCUCUCUUUUUCUUUGUUUUCGUUUCUGUUUUUUUUUUACUUCAAGAAACAACAAGUACUUGGCCGAAAGAGUAAAAUUCUAGAAAUUUGGUCGGCUCUCCAAUGCACUUCUUCAACCCUCCAAGAACUAGCAAGAUACGUAUCAAGGUUUCAAGAACUUCAAGGUAGUAACCAAGAACUUCAAGAAACCCUAAAAUCUUGUAGGUUCUCUUUAAGAUUCCCAAGUACCAACAAAAUUAACCACAAAUCAGAUUUAGAAACUUAAGAAAACAACUUGGAUGAACCAAACAAAGCUUAGACAGAUUUGAAACGAAGGAAUCCUAAUGCAACACAAAACCCUAGCCGCCAAAGGAACCCUAACAGCCGUCACGUUAUUGUUCCUGCUGCCCAAGCGACAACCAACUAACGAGACAGAUUUGGGAGCAAUGUUGAAACACCAACAACUAGAAUUUUUGAUGCAACAAAUUACUGAAACGCAAGAAACAAGUUGUGGACAGAAUUAUCAACAAACUAGACACAAACACAAAGGAGAUAACACACCAACAGAUUUUGUGUUCCAAUGAACAGUAACAUGAAUAGUGUCGGAUGAACAGUAAUGAUGAAUAGUGUCGGUGAACAAUGAUUUUGAGCAGUGCUUUUUUUUUUUUUUUUUGUAAAAAUAAGGCAGCGGAAACAAGGAAAACUAAGACAAAAACUACGGAUAUAACGGAAGAUACUUCCACCAAAGCUCUGAAAGCCAACUGAUACGGUCCUCGAUCAACUCGUUUCGAGACACGUAGUACGUUUGUCCAAGGAUCUAGCGAGAUAAUCCAACGCUCGGAUUGCGGGUCCUAAAACCAAUACAGACGACACGAAUUGGUUGAAAGUGGUAGAAGGACGACUCCAAUCGAGGUGGUUACUCAAGUGGAUAGGUCGGUAGAACAAUCAAGGACAAGACGCAGGAUUGCUUAAUAACCCUUGCCAAAGCAAGUAGAAGGCUCGAAUCUCUCUUACAAGAAGAAUCGAAAAUAAUCAAAAUUUAUUGAUAAAACGUCUACCUUAAUGCUUACAAAGCAAGCCUUUAUAUAGGCAAAACUAAUGAAACCCUAAUAUUCGAAACCCUAAUAUCGAAAAGCUAGAUGGUCGGCCACUCCUUGGAUAAGGUGGGCCGAUCUACGGACUCAAUAAAAAAGGGUAUAGUGGUUCGGCCAUCCUUAGACAAAGGUGGGCCGAAUCCAUGGCUAACAAAAAGGACUAAUCUAAACUUAAGACUCCUAACACUAAGGCCUAAUCGGCCAUGGCCCUCUUGACUCUUCACGGGCUCUCUUUACGGGUUUGGAUUAUCGUGUAGACAACUGGGUUAUCACCUUCCAAGCCUUCAAUGUCUCAAUGAACUCCUUGUUGGUCUUGAACAUUUCGCACAAGGGUUUGGAGUGAUUUCUUGAAUUGCUUAGCCCGUGCAUGUGUGACUGGGCCCAAUGGUACUCGAACCGGGUCAUUGCGUGGGCCAAGAUCUCUGCACACAUCAUAAGGGAGCAGCUCCUAGGCCAAAUUGGCGAAUGACAAAAUUUGUAGGGCAAUUUUGGUAAGUUAAAAGCCCAUAAAUGUAUUUGACAGGUGUCAGGCCUGUGCAAUAAUAAAAAUCUGCUCAACUAAAGUUAAUUUUUGUAGAUAAUGGUAAGCAAGGUUAAAUCCACAGGGACUGGGUGUAACUAUUUCUUUUCAAAUUCACAGUAACCAAGGGUGUUUUGUGUGGAAAGUGCCAAUCAAAUAAAUUCAAAUAAAAAUAAAUAGCUAACUAGAAAUUAAAUGACAAUUCACUAAAAUCAGAGUAAUAAUAAUUAAAGGUCUAGUUAAGAAAUAACUUCAGCAAUUGUCUUACGUAUUAGAGGAGCCCUAUUCUAACCAAAUAACGCACUACCAGGGUUAUUUCAGAUUAGCCCGCGUAUCCCUCUAGCAUAAUCAAAUCAUGCCAGUUGUCACUAUUUCAAGGUAAUUAAACAAUUAUGGAUUUAAUGCCUCAAUUGACAAUAGACUACCUAAUUAACUAAUUAUCCGGAUCCAAGAAAAUCAAUUAAUUGAAUAAUCAUAAGCGCUAUAAUCAAAGAAUAUGUGAAUACCAAUAAAUAAAAGGAAAAUAUAAAAUUAAAUCGAUCUCAUAAUUUUAGGCGAAUCAAAGCCUCCGUUGUUCCUUGACUAGAAAAAGAGGAUUUAGUUCAUCCCAAAUGAAAAGAACCUACGCUAGAAUUCAGAAAUAAUAUUCACGGGCAUCGUCCUUCGAAAUUGGGAAGAGCUCCAAUUCGUUUAAUUAGUGAAAAGCUCCUGACAUGAGCAGGAGGCAACCCACUCAAAGAAAAAACAUUCAAGGAAAAGUCAAAAGCAAAAGCUUAAGUAGUGCUAAUUCCCUGCUGUUCCUAUUUCCUAUUUGAUUACUCUAAUACCCUACGGCUGCUGUGCGGCAUCACUUGUGUAGGCCCACGAAGACUCCCAAACUUGCUUUCUUUUUGCUUCUUAGUUGCUGUCUUCGGCCAAAUUACCAAAAAAGACUUGCAUCUCCUUGUUCCCAAAAUGCCCCUGAAUGCCUUCUAUUUGAAUUCUUUCCCGAUGAUUGUCAAAUUGGCCUUGGUUGUGGUAUUUUUGUUCUACUCCCUGAAAUGAAUGCAGAUUACGAAAAGUGAGUAGAAUCUAGUAAUUAAUUCACAUUGGAUUAGGUAGUAGGGGAAAUUAAUAAUAAAACAAGUAAUGAAAUUGCAACCCAUCAGUAUUUAUGUGUACUCCAAUCUUAAGGAUUAAAUUUAAUUGUUAGUUCGAGUAGAUGAGUAAUUAUAUACAUAAAUAAUUAAAAGGAAUUAAUUUUAUAAAAAUUUUAUUUUUCACAAUAAUUUAUUGAAGAAUUUUGGUUCAUAAGGUUAUAGUAAUUUGGUAAUUACAAUACUUAGGGUAGUUAUAUUGGCAAAAUGUGAUUAAACAAUUAGAGCAAAAAUUAAAAGUUUUUCCUUAAGGAUAAAAUUGAAAGUUUAGAAAAUGAUAUUAAAAAGUUUAUACUAAUAGUGAUCCCUCGAACUAAGAAUAUAAUAUUAUCGUAUUACUUUAAUGUCAUCGGAAUUAGGAUUGGAAUUGGGUGGUAAACCAGAAAGUAAAGUAAUUUAGUGCUUUCUUAUUAGCUGAAAUUUAGGAUGGAACUUGGCAAACUAUCAAAAGAAGCUGCAUAGUAGUUUGAAAUUUUGCAGGUAUACACUAUCAUUCUUAACCAGUUUUUCUUAAAGGAUUGCAUCAUUCCCCAUCUUCCAAGGAACUGAACCUCUUAGGUUAUAGUUAUUUUGUAUGACUUAGUCCAUAUCAAAGGAUAAAUUUUCUUUAUACUCUAUGUUCCUGUUGUUUGAUGAUACAGUGGGAUAGGGGCGGAUUUAAAGGGGGGCACUGGGGGCACAGGCCCCUACUGCCCCCCUUAAAUUCCUAUAAUACUUCUAUAAUUUUGUCAUAAUUUUAAAGGUGCCCUCAGAAUUUUUUUUAGAUAAAAUGUGAAAGAAGGGUCACAAAAUCUAUAUCAUUCACUUUCCUCCUCUGGUCCCCAUUUCCUCCCCAACUCCCCAAUAGGGCCAAGUACCAAUUGUAUCAGUCAUUACUUUUGGUCCCCACUCCCCAAGUUCCAUUUACUCCUCUGGACCCUCAUUUCACUUCACAACCCACGGGCCACGGCUUCUCUUCUUCCACACCCAACUAACUGCUUCUUCUUUUUUUUAUCACUUCAUCCAAUCAUCAUUAAUCAUUUACUUCCUUUGUCCCAACUCUCCAAUUUCCCUUUCCUCCUCUAGCUCUCGGUUGUCCCCACUCCCCAACAUACGUGAGACACUUUUUCUUCCACAACCCAAGCAGUAAGCUUGUUACUCUUUCUUUUAGAUUACUUCAUCCGAUUUAGAGAUUGCACCUGAAUCAAUUGACCUUCUGGACCUGGAUCCGCCAGUGAUUUGUAGCUCUUUUCAACAACUUUGAGAGACCAUCAAAAUCAGGUUCUAAACAAUUACCUAUUAUUAUUAUUAUUUUAAAUUUGUUUGCAAAUAUAUUUCUAGAACAUGAGACUAUUACUGUUUUAAAGAAAUUUGAAAAUUGAUUAGUUAAUGUAAUAACUAAUAAAUGGGUUAUUUGAUAAAUAUUUUAACUUGUGAAAUGGUGAUUUUAUGGAUUUAUAAUUUAUUUUUUAUUUUCCUUGAUUAGUUUCUUAUAUUGGAGUUAAUGUAAUGAUGAAUAGAUGGCCAUUUGACAUAUAUUUUAACUUUUAAAUUAUUCUUGUAUGGAUCCUUUUGUCUAAUUAACUUGAUUAGGUUCAUAUGAUGUGAUUAAUGAUUUGAUAUAGUAAUGAAUUAAUAAGUCAUUUAAUAAAUAACUUCAACUUGUAAAAUAGUUCUUGGAUAUAUUUUAUUGUACAUUUAAUAUUUUAAUUGGAUUAGUAUCUUAUAUAUUGAUUUUAAUUUCUUUAGCUAUGGAGAGAUAUUUUUUAUAUAUAUAUUUUUAAUGGAAUAUACAUAUCAUUUGUACUUGUUGGUGAUUUUUUUUUGCUUAAAAAAUUAGAAAAAGAGUAAAUAAAAAAUUUUAGUGUUUUUUUCCCCCACUAAGAUUUUUUUUCUGGCUCUGCCACUGCAAUGGGAGCUCUUUGAUUUGAUCCACUUACUACAUGCUAAUUGUUUUAAAAGGCUUGAUUGGAAAGCUAUUAGUUGGGUGUUCUCACCCCCUACCCCAGGGUCUCUUGUCACCGUUGAAGGUCGAAGGAAUGUAGUUUCAAGAAUGCUCAACACUUGUGAAGAUAAUGAUCAUGAUCAAUAUGAUAUUUACGGAUUAAAUAAUGAAAGUGAUUGGCAUCACAUAUGUGCUCCACAUAUGUGAUGCAUGCUCAAAAUGUCAUUAAUCAAUUAAUUACUCGAAGUUUGUAAUUAUAAUUCUCUAAAGUGAAUUUUUGCGAAUAAAAUUUGUUGAAGUUUGUGUUUUGCUCCUUUAUGAAAAGGUCAUCCCCAAUUUGCUUUAGUCUGUGCUACAAGCCCGUACAUGUGCCGGCAUGUAUUCGUAUUGAUUUUACCUAUGCACCAACUGCAAUUGUUUUUAAGAUCAUUCGGUGUGGCAAUACAUGAAGUGACAAUGGUGCAUUUAUGCUUUUAAUGCACUAAAGGAAAUGCUGGAGUUUGAAAUCUGACGUUUUUAUAUGUUGACGGCAUGAACAAAUGAUGGAGUUUUGGGUAGUUUCUUAAGACAAGAUACCAUAUCUGUGUGGUCAAAGAAUUUGAUGACAAUGCCUGGAGAAUUGUUACAGUUUGGGACCAUGUAUUCUUGAAUAGAUUAGGGGUGGCAAUCAGGUCGGGUUCGGGUUGGCGGGUUGGGUUGAGACUUAAGUAUAACAAAGAAUCUGCUGACUCGAACCCGUCCCGCCAACCCGAAACGAGUCAGGGUACCUGACACGAACCCGAAAAUUUCGGGUUGGCGGGUCGACCCGAAAUGACCCGAAACUUAAUUUUAAUUUAUUAAUUUAUCACUGUAAUUUCUAAUAAAAUCAAAUUUUCACAAAAUUAAUUACUUCAUCAAGUAAUAAAAAUUCAAAUAAAUAAUUUCAAACCAAAUCUAAAAUAAAUUAAACACCAUAAAAGUGUUUUAUGCCAAACCAAAUAUAAAAUAAAUUAAAACAGCAUAAAAGUAAAAAAUAACAUAAUAUAUUAUUUGUCCAAAUAUAAUAAUUUUAACUUCACACAAGUUAAAUAAAUUCAUUUAGGAUUAAGUAAUUAAUGCCUUUGGAAAAAAAGAAUAAUUUAGUUUAGUUAGAUAAAAUAAUUUUUAUGUUUAUUAAAUUAGUUUUAAUUCGUAAACGGGUCACAUCGGGUCAUAUCAGGUCAUCACGGGUUGACCCGAAAUUGACAUGUUUUCUUUUCGGGUUCAUCGGGUUCGACCCGAUUCUGACCCGAACUCUCAAAACCUCAACUCAAACCCAUUAAUUUCUUGUUAGGUUCGUGUCGUGUUUUCGGGUCGUGUCAGGAAUUGCCAUCCCUAGAAUAGAUUAUACUCUUUCCGGGUACCCUCACGCAGCGCGUGAGGCCCAAAUAAACUAGUCCUAUAGUAAUUUGUCCAUCCGUAGGCUGUAAGAUAACGCUUAAAAAACAUGUAUCCAUGUAAGAUUAUUUUUGCUGAAAUGCAUGUCAUAUAAAAUUCAUCUUCAUAUAGUUGGAAGAGGAAGUGUAAGUAAGAUGCUUCGAAUUCGAGACAUCCCACUAAGGGUUUGUUUGAUAACUUAAAAAAGUGUUGAAACUGAAUCUUUUUAGACAUUCAAUGCUUUGAAUGUUUGAUAAAUGAAAAUCCAUCUGCUAAACUUGUUAACCAGUGCUGAACUUGUGUGUAUUUUUUUCAGCACAAGAAUCCUAACUGAAUGCUUAAUUCUGAUAAGAAUUAAUAGAAUUAGUUCAAGCAUCUUAUCUUAUCUACCAAAUCUACCAUUGUUUGUUAAUUAUAUUCAAAAUUCUUAUUUAAUUAAACAAUCUGAUAUUUUCUAUAUAACGGUUUUUUGUUUCUCUUUUCUCCCUUUUUAAUGACUUUCAUUUUUUUCACCAUACUCCUCAUAUAAUAUAUUUCAUCUUUUAUAUUAAUUUGUUUUAAAAAUAAAUAUUGUCAAUUUCAUACCUAACAAUUUUAAACUAAUUAAAUCAUAGGUUCUAUUUCAUUUUUGAAUGAAAAGAUAUAAGGGUAAAAUUAUCAAAUUAAACGUUUUAUGCAUUCAAUUAUAAAUAUUUAUCAAACAGUAUAAAUAGAUUUAGCAUUAAAAUUAAGAUAUUCAUAUAUUUCUAUUCAGUGCUUAAAAUUCAGCAAAUUAAUUAUUUCAGUAUUCAGAAUUCAGAAUUUAGACUUCAGAAUUCAGAUUCAGUUUUAUCAAACGGAACAUUAGAAAAAAAACUUAAUCAGGCCAAUUGUAAUAAAAAGUUUUAUUUAAAGCUUUUCAUUUAAUGAUGUAUUUUACAUCUAUUAGUAGAACAAUUAAAGUAGAUACUAUAUUUUCUGACUGCAUCAUUGAAAUUAUGGGAGAUUGCAUGUUAAAUCCAUAAAAUUAAUGAAAAUUCAAAUUUAAAGAUGGGAUAAUUUCAAAAACCUCCCUUGAGGUUUCUGACAAUUUCACUUAGCUCCCCCAAUUUUAGAAAAUUACACUAACCUCCCUCAAUUCAAUAAAAUUACUACAAUACCUUCUACUUAAUAGAUAAUUUACCACAUAUGCGGGAUACAAAAACCAAACCAAAGGUAAAAUAUAUAUAUAUAUAUAUAUAUAUAUAUAUAUAUAUAUAUAAACCUGCAACAACUCGUCACUAUCUGAUAGGGUGUUAAUUGUCGGUUAUUUUAUUAUUAAUUUUUCCCUUAUCCCUGCCAAAUAUUGUCUUAAUUGUUAAUAUCUACUUAUAUUUGGUAUCUGGAUUUAAUUUCAGGGAAUGGAGCAGAAAAUUACAAAAAAGGAUGGACUUUCUGAAGCAAAUUACUUCACACGUGGGAGUCUUCUGCAAAGCUCCAUCAACGUGGUCCACAAGAGGGAAGAAACGGAUUUCCGUUUGCUCUUGUUGAUGAGGAGUGGCUGGUACAAGGAGUCCUACUAUCAAUAGGAAACAAGGAGGAAUUUCAGCAAAGCUCCAAUUCUUUGGCUCUUUGACUCCCAAUUCGGCGGGGACCACAGGGAUAGCAUUAGUCAUCUUUCUUUUGGCUUUAAAAAGGGACAAUCGUGCAGAGGCUUGGGGGGCUUAGUCUUUUGAAUAGUUUUAGUCUUUUCUUUCUUUUUCUUUGUCAGGCGCACGCCUACUGUUCGACAAUAUUCCCCAACGGAAAAAACAUCUCUUAUUUCUCGCUUCCUAGUGAAAAACUUGAUGCUUUUGCAAUCAAUUAAUUUGCGUGAAAAUUUAUUUAUGCGGCGUGGCUAAGCCUCUCAUCUAGUCGAAGGCCAACUUGAAGGCGCGGUUCCAAAUAUCUGUGAGAUCGAAUUAAUUUUAAUUAUUUCUUUUAUUCAUUGGUAUUUGUACGUUUCCUAAUUUAAUUGCUUAUGCUUGUUAUGUUAUUUGAAUGUCAAAGGCCCGAUAUUCGAAUUAACCUAAUGAUCUAAUGCCAAAUUAAUUGAUUGAAUCCGUAAUUGUUCAAUUGAUUAGUACCAGUAGCGAUUAGUUUGAUUGGUUUCAUGUUAGAGAAACGUAUGAUCUAAUUUAAACAAACCCUCGUAACGUGUUUGUUGGUUAGGGUUGGGUUUUUCUAAUUAUUAAUGCAAUCGAGUAAUUAAAUCCUACAGUCGUACCUAGGGUUAUUUCUUGAUUAGAGAAAUAGUUAACGGUCGUACCUUAACUAUCGAGAAAUUAAGGAAAGGCUGGUUGUUCAUCGCGUGUAUGACAACUAUAACUAAUCUAGUAAUGAAUAAUUGAAUUAUCUUUGCACCGAUGAUCAGUUGAAUGGACCGUGUCUGAAAAGUUGCACCUUUGGCUAGAGUCGUACUGGUUAUUGAUUAAUUCUUGUUAUUUCUAUUAGUUGUUUCAUUAGUUAGUUAAUUAGUUAUUUUAUAUUUUCCAAAAAUCCCCCAUGCGCUAAACUCUAGAAAAAACGAAUUAUCCCCAGUCCCUGUGGAUUCGACCCUGCUCAUCGCUCUAUACAAAAUUUGUAUUUUUUUCGAGUAGGUUUUUAUUAUUGCACAGGCUCGACAACCUAUCACUAUCUCUAAUUCUAUUUUAAUUAACAGCAGUUUCUUUUCUCUUUCCCUUUCUUUUUUUUUUUUACCUCUUAUGACUCUCUCCUUCUUACCUAUAACCCCACAGUCUCUUCCACCCGUAAAUGCAAGGCCAUGCAAACCUACCUGAAGUGUAUAUUUCUUGUCUAUUUCUCUCUUUCCGUGGUACUUAACUAUCAGCCCCCUUGAUCAGCCCCUUUGUUUAUUUCUUCUUGUAUUAUAAUUUACAUAUCUUAAAGAAUCAAAAUUUCCAAAAUUACAAAUUGAGGGAGAAAAUGAAAAUUUCAUGGUCAAAUUAGAUGGAGAUGAUGAAGAUGGUUGUGAUAGGGAGGAAAAAAAAUAAAAUGAAUGGGCUAUAGUUAGAAGAGAAAAAGGGAUGACUUUGAGUUGUGCUAUUAUGUCCAUUACAUACUAGAAUCUAAUAUCUUCAUUUAGUUUCAUUUUUGUUUGAUUUACAAGUAUUGGUAGUGGUUUGUCGUAAAGAUUAGUUUCUCUAUUUCUAAUGCCAUUGGAGUAUAGGGUUACUCUUGGCAUAGACAUCAAUAAAUUGGGAUUUUAGUGAUACCAAAAUUGAUAGAAUUUGGGAAUUAAAUUGGAGUUUGCUUGAACGGUUGAUAAGGUUUUGGGUUUACAAUUAUUGUGGAAGCAUAGCAAAUUUGGAUAAAAGUGUUUGUUACUUUUUUUUUGGUUAAAUUGAUCACUAAACCUUUUUUUCACUUUCUUUUGAUGUUAUGAUAUUGCAUAAGGGUAUUUUAGGAUACUUAAGUAUAUUUCUAGCCUAAUGGGUCUAUAAUGUUACCUAAAUAGUAAAAGUAUGGGAGGUCAGUGUAAUUUUCUAAAUUUAGGGGGAGUUGACUGAAAUUGUCAGAAACCUCUUGAGGUUUCUGAAAUUAUCCCUUUAAAGAUUGUAAAGCUUAAGUGAACUUGGGCUAGCUCCAAUUCAGCAUGUUGAUGAAAAGGAAAGGCACGUUUCGAAGGAAAAAUCCAAGGAUAAAUGAAAAAAAAAAGGCUACAAGGCUAUGUUAAACCAACAAUUUGACCAGUAACAGCAACACCACUGCAAAAGAUCAAUCUUGUGAAUUUGCGUGAAAUGUUUAGAUGUACUGUUCGCUGUUUUAGAUAACAUGAUAUAAUAGUUUAAGAAAUUAUGUAUUGGAGCUCAAUUGUAGAAAUUAGUAAGUUAAACUGAUAUUUCAGUUUGCCAUUUUAUCUGGUACUAGGUUGCAUGUUUAAGAGUUUGAAGGACAAAUCCACUAGAUAAAGCAUUCACUGAAAGUACUAAUACUACUUAGCCAUCCAUCUGCUGUAUUUCUAAAGACACAGAGCUACACAGGGGUACCGUUGACUCAUCAGAAGAACUACCAUUGCUGCUUCUUUGCAUAGAUAUGGGUGAAUUUGGAGGGUAAAACGACGGUUUAGGAGGCAACGUUAGGCCACUAGCAUCACUUUCAAGCAUUUCCAAGACUUCCCUCAUUGAAGGACGAUUCUCAGGUGUCAUCUGUAUGCACCACAAGGCAAUCAAAAUCAAUUUUCUUGUAAUCGUCUUUUCUUCUUCAGUUGCAUGAUCUCCGAUUUCCAUUUCCUCCACCUGAUCGAAUUUGUCAUAUAUCCAUGAAGGGAAGUAUAUUUGACUAGAAUGCUCAGCAUGAGC
rnacentral:lncRNA from 1 species